CCUACGGGAGGCAGCAGUGGGGAAUAUUGGGCAAUGGGCGCAAGCCUGACCCAGCAACGCCGCGUGAAGGAAGAAGGCUUUCGGGUUGUAAACUUCUUUUCUGAGGGACGAAGAAAGUGACGGUACCUCAGGAAUAAGCCACGGCUAACUACGUGCCAGCAGCCUCGGUAAUACGUAGGUGGCAAGCGUUAUCCGGAUUUAUUGGGUGUAAAGGGCGUGUAGGCGGGAAGGCAAGUCAGAUGGGAAAACUCAGGGCUCAACCCUGAGCCUGCAUUUGAAACUGUUGUUCUUGAGUGCUGGAGAGGCAAUCGGAAUUCCGUGUGUAGCGGUGAAAUGCGUAGAUAUACGGAGGAACACCAGUGGCGAAGGCAGAUUGCUGGACAGUAACUGACGCUGAGGCGCGAAAGCGUGGGGAGCAAACAGGAUUAGAUACCCCAGUAGUC
rnacentral:rRNA from 1 species